rnacentral:lncRNA from 1 species
GGGCAUAGUCCGGAAGAGCCAACCAUUGUUCAAAACCUUGUUACUUCCUCCUUUCUCUCUUAUUUCUACGCCACAAAAAGCACAAAUCGACACUAACAGUAGACCUCAAAUCAGCGAAGACUAUUUGGUUCCUAAAUCAACCGAUCUCAUUUAUCUAGACGUCACAACUGUAUACGAAAGUAACGAAGCAUUCUGAUGAACAUGAAGUAUUUACUUGAGGAACAAAACAAAUUAGUACAGGCUAUAAAGAGAAAGGACUGGCCAGCAGUAAGAAACAUCCUGGAAAAUGAACCGUACCUUAAUGAAACUUUUGAUGAGGUAAGUACUCAGUUGCUACUAAAUUUAUGAUCCACUCCAGAUGUGAUUUUUAGUAAAUUAUUCAUAAAAUAUUAUAUACUAUUACCUCGGGCUAACGAAUCUCACAAAUAUAUUCCCAUAAUAUGUUUUGCUUUUUAUUAAAAAAAAAA